CUGCAAGGUGCUGCAUGGGUUGUCGUCAGCUCGUGCCGUGAGGUGUCGGGUUAAGUCCCAUAACGAGCGCAACCCUUAUCGUAGUUGCCAGCUGGUAAAGCAGGGGACUCUAGCGAAACUGCCACCGUAAGGUGAGAGGAAGGUGGGGAUGACGUCAAAUCAGCACGGCCCUUAUGUCCAGGGCUACACACGUGUUACAAUGGCCGGCACAGAGGGCAGCUACCUGGUGACAGGAUGCUAAUCUCGAAAACCGGUCUCAGUUCGGAUCGAAGUCUGCAACUCGACUACAUGAAGUUGGAAUCGCUAGUAAUGGCAGAUCAGCAUGCUGCCGUGAAUACGUUCCCGGGUCUU
rnacentral:rRNA from 1 species